CCUACGGGUGGCAGCAGUGAGGAAUAUUGGUCAAUGGGCGUAAGCCUGAACCAGCCAAGUCGCGUGAGGGAUGAAGGUUCUAUGGAUCGUAAACCUCUUUUAUAAGGGAAUAAAGUGUGGGACGUGUCCUAUUUUGUAUGUACCUUAUGAAUAAGGAUCGGCUAACUCCGUGCCAGCAGCCGCGGUAAUACGGAGGAUCCGAGCGUUAUCCGGAUUUAUUGGGUUUAAAGGGUGCGUAGGCGGCCUUUUAAGUCAGCUGUGAAAGUCUGUGGCUCAACCAUAGAAUUGCCGGUGAAACUGGGGGGCUUGAGGAUGUUUGAGGUAGGCCGAAUUCGUGGUGUAGCGGGUGAAAGCUUAGAUAUCACGAAGAAACCCGAUUGGGAAGGGAGGCCGCCAAGCCACGAAUGACGCUGAAGCACGAAAGCGUGGGGAUCAAACAGGAAUAGAUAACCCAGUAGUC
rnacentral:rRNA from 1 species